rnacentral:rRNA from 1 species
UACGAAGGGGGCUAGCGUUGCUCGGAAUUACUGGGCGUAAAGGGCGCGUAGGCGGAUAGCUUAGUCAGAGGUGAAAGCCCAGGGCUCAACCUUGGAAUUGCCUUUGAUACUGGCUGUCUUGAGUUCGGGAGAGGUGAGUGGAAUGCCGAGUGUAGAGGUGAAAUUCGUAGAUAUCUGGAGGAACACCGGUGGCGAAGGCGGCAUCCUGGACCGGUAUUGACGCUGAUGCGCGAAAGCCAGGGGAGCAAACGGG